rnacentral:tRNA from 1 species
UGGGAUAUAGCUCAGUUGGUAGAGUGCUUGCUUUGCAUGCAUAAGGCCCUGGGUUCAAUCCCCAGCACCACAC